rnacentral:rRNA from 1 species
GAUGAACGCUGGCGGCGUGCCUAAUACAUGCAAGUCGAGCGAACAGACGAGGAGCUUGCUCCUCUGACGUUAGCGGCGGACGGGUGAGUAACACGUGGAUAACCUACCUAUAAGACUGGGAUAACUUCGGGAAACCGGAGCUAAUACCGGAUAAUAUAUUGAACCGCAUGGUUCAAUAGUGAAAGACGGUUUUGCUGUCACUUAUAGAUGGAUCCGCGCCGCAUUAGCUAGUUGGUAAGGUAACGGCUUACCAAGGCGACGAUGCGUAGCCGACCUGAGAGGGUGAUCGGCCACACUGGAACUUAGACACGGUCCAGACUCCUACGGGAGGCAGCAGUAGGGAAUCUUCCGCAAUGGGCGAAAGCCUGACGGAGCAACGCCGCGUGAGUGAUGAAGGUCUUCGGAGCGUAAAACUCUGUUAUUAGGGAAGAACAAAUGUGUAAGUAACUAUGCACGUCUUGACGGUACCUAAUCAGAAAGCCACGGCUAACUACGUG